GCAUGUGCCUACUGUGCAGGUUUUAACCCCUUCAAGGCCUCGCUUUGUUCCGUCUUUUACAGGACCUCCCGAUCCUUGUUCGGUGUAUACCCGACCCUUUUGUAAUCUAAUCCGAUCUCCUGGUCCUAGAUUCCAAGUCGACAAUGACGUGGACACGGAUUGGAUGCGCCAUUUUUCAUUUUUCUCUAAAACCCCUGCAGCGUACGAAGGGACUGGUGUUGGAAGGGUAGAGGCUUUCCCAGACCGCCGGGCGGAGGCCAAGCUGGGCCAGCGGCUCCCGGGACGGCACCCGUGCACCAGCUCCACUGAGCCUGCCCUGGCGUCUGGCCUCCUCUUUGCCCUGCUCAAGACUGGCCACGGGCACCAUCCUGUCCCUAGAAAGUUGAUCUUUUCUCUGAAGAAACAGAAACCGAACUGAGGACUGCCUGGAAGCCCGGAACAUUCCGGGUUCUGUUGACUCGACGGCUGAAGGCAGGAUUUGUGUCCCUCAGAACAGGCUGUGGUGGUCUGUGAAGGUAGCUUCCAUGGGUGGAAAUUCCUUGUGGCUUCCGAACCCUCCCUUGACUUGAACGGCGUUUCAUUGGGAGCAGUUUAUGCUUCAGCAUAGCUUUAUGUUUGGAUUAGGAAAGCACAAAGAGCCACUCAUUCGGACUGGGCAGCGUACAAGGGCUGUGUCUCUUCGUGCACCUUGUGGCUUUAGCUGUACUCAGUUGUUUUCACUAGCAACAGACACUUUGUAACCCCUUUAAAAGUUAAGCUCCCUCUUGCUCCCCACAUGCCACGGGGACUUAGUACUCGCUGCCCCUCUGACUGAAGCCCCUUCAGUGUGACCCUCAGCAUCAAGAGGGGGCGCACAGAACAGAUCCAAAGCAGAAACCGCUCUGCCAAGAUAAAGCUCCCUAGCGGGAGGGAACCAAUUCAACAAAAUCAAAACUUAAGAUCCCUCUAAAGAAAAACUGGAAGGAUUGACUGCAAACCUGUAAUGCAUAUUGGACACUUUCAAAUGUGUUUGCCCACUUAAUUUUCAUGGUAUGUAUACCUGUGAGGUUGAUAGGUCUCAUCCACAUUCUAGGUGGAUCUUCCUAAAGGUGUAUAAUCUUUGAACAGUUUCAUGUAUUUAUUUAUGUAAAUAAAUAAACAGCUGCUUUCCUUUUGAGAACAUCUGCUUUGAACACCAAAAAAAAUCCUUUCCAAAACCAGCCUCAUCAACUACAGGAUACUUGGCAUGCAUACUUCCCAAUUUAAGGACCCAGAGAUUUGCCUGAACAAAAUGCUCCAGGGAGGAUGAGGAGCCAAGAGAAUUUUUGCAGUUUAACCAGACCAGUGUCCUGAGUCUUGGAGAUGGUCUGUCAGCAGUACUCAAAAGUGUGGUCCCUGAGCCAGCAGCACAGGGCAACUCCUGUGACCUCAUUAGAAAAUUCCGGAAAAUGCAAGAUCAAGGACGCCUUUCCAUUAACUGUUAUAGUGAUGAGAUCAAACAUCCUGUAACCUUUGGAAAACUACUGUGCAUUCAUAAAAGAAUGAGAUUGAAAGGGGAAGUUAAUAUCUUAGAAUUAUGAAGUUUCAAUUUCACAAGCUUCAAGUCUCAAGGAAUUUUUAAAAUAUACUUUUAAUGAGUGCAAUUUGAUAAGCCUUUUAAAGGCCACUUGACUUUUGAUCUUCAGACCAUACUACAAAAAUAUUCAGAUAGGCACACAUACAGACACAGUGUAUUUCACUUGUGUAUUCAGCACUGUUCACUACGAUACCAAUAACUUUAGAGAAAAACUGGAAAUAACUUUUUUUCUGAUAUGGGGGAUCAAACUCAGGAUCUUGUGCUUACAAGGCAGGCACGGCACCACUGAGAUAAAUCUCUGGCCCCGGAAAUAGAUUUCUUCAUAGGUGAUGCAAUUGUAGCUACUCAGGAGGCUGAAGCAGGAGGAAUCAAAGUUGCGGGCCACAAAUCCAUGCAAUUAAGAAUGA